rnacentral:rRNA from 1 species
UACGUAGGGUCCGAGCGUUGUCCGGAAUUAUUGGGCGUAAAGGGCUCGUAGGCGGUUUGUCGCGUCGGGAGUGAAAACUCAGGGCUCAACCCUGAGCGUGCUUCCGAUACGGGCAGACUAGAGGUGAUGCAGGGGAGAACGGAAUUCUUGGUGUAGCGGUGGAAUGCGCAGAUAUCAGGAGGAACACCGGUGGCGAAGGCGGUUCUCUGGGCAUUACCUGACGCUGAGGAGCGAAAGCAUGGGGAGCGAACAGG